rnacentral:lncRNA from 1 species
GAAGGGGGAGUGGUAGCCGGUUUGAAGGAAGAGGGAGAGGGAGGAGUAAGUAGGACAGGGCCCCUUAAAGGGGCGGGUCAAUCCCGCCGGGCCCCGCCCCCUGGGGCGGCGCAGGCGCAGGCGGGUUCCAGGAACUCCGGCGGGAGGGCGGGCGCUCCUGGCUCUUGGGCCGGCGCGCUGGGCCGCAGCACCUGCGGGGGCCGGCGCAGGGCGCGGCGCCCGGCGGGCGGACCUCGACGCCCAGGAGCGAGGGCAGGGAGCCGGGACCGGGACGGGGGGCGGAGCGGGAGGGGACGCUACCCCGCAGCCCCCUCCCCCGGGGGACGGGGCGGAAGCAGCCGGGCGCGGGGAGGUGUGAGCGGACGCCGAGGACAGCACCAUCUGGAGGGGCGGGACCGCGCGGCCUCUGGGGGGCAGGCGAGUGCGUUGGGCAGUGCCGGCUGGGGGCCCCAGGCGGGGAGUUGUGCAGGAAGAGCGCGGCGGGCUCAGCCCAGGGCUGCCGGAGCAGCAGCCGCAGCUGGUCGGGGUUCUCAGCUGGGGCCCGCAGCAGCUCCGCGGGCUGAAGCUCGGCGUGGAGGAGCAGGGGGGCGUGGGUCCGGCGGUGCAGGAGGAGGGCGGGGUGGGCCCGGGGGUGCAGGAGCGGGGCGGCCGGGGCCACGAGCCCAGUCUGGGGGUGGUGUGGGGGCCGCCGGACGGCGCGGACUGGAGGCGCCCGCCGCCGUGGACUGGCUCCGCGGGCUGGCCGGUGGUGCAGGAGGAGGGGCUGGGGCCCGGCAAGCAGCACCAGGAGAAAGGGGAAAGCAGCCCCGCAGUGCAGGAGCGGGGGGAGGCCCGCACCGGGGUGCAGGAACGGGGGGAGGGGAGCCCACGUCGGCUGCUGCAGCAGCCCGAGCAGCUGUCCGAGUUCGGGGAGGGCUCUUGGGAGCGCAGAGACGAGCUCGAAAGUUCCGGGGAGCAGUACUGGGAGAGCUGCGGGCACCUCAGACGGGAGGCGGUGGUCCUGGGAGAGGUCCCGGCCCGUCGCAAGAGACUCGAACUGCUGGGGAGGGCCCGGCCAGUGGGGCCCCGGGGGCCUGA